rfam:Tupaia chinensis contig214886, whole genome shotgun sequence.
AUGCUUGCUUCGGCAGCAUAUAUACUAAAAAUUGGAACAAUACAGAGAAUAUUAGCAUGGCCUCUGUGCAAGAAUGACAUGCAAAUCCAUGAAGCAUUCCAUAUUUUU